rnacentral:rRNA from 1 species
UUUGAGGAAGUAAAAGUCGUAACAAGGUUUCCGUAGGUGAACCUGCGGAAGGAUCAUUACUGAGAGGGGCGGUGUGCGCCAGCAGCCGCCCCGGGGGGCUUCGGCCCCCCAUCUCUUCAACCCUGUGUGUACCAACCUCUGUUGCUUUGGCGAGCGCCGGGGUGCCUUGCGCCUCGGCCCUGACCACGGUCAGUGAGCUCUCGCCGGAGGCCCAUCAGUAUUCUGUUUCUAGUGACGUCCGAGUAUACCAAUAAAUCAAUCAAAACUUUCAACAACGGAUCUCUUGGUUCUGGCAUCGAUGAAGAACGCAGCGAAAUGCGAUAAGUAAUGUGAAUUGCAGAAUUCAGUGAAUCAUCGAAUCUUUGAACGCACAUUGCGCCCCCCGGUAUUCCGGGGGGCAUGCCUGUUCGAGCGUCAUUGCAACCCUCAAGCUUUGCUUGGUAUUGGGCGUUCGCCGCUCCCCACGGAGGAGGCGUGCCCGAAAAUUAGUGGCGGUCCAGGGAGGCUUCAAGCGCAGUAAAUCUAUCCGCUUUCGAGGUGUCGCCUGCGGUCCAGCCGUGAAGCGCCCCAACUUU